AUACGUAGGGGGCAAGCGUUAUCCGGAUUUACUGGGUGUAAAGGGAGCGUAGACGGAGAGGCAAGUCUGAUGUGAAAGGCAGGGGCUCAACCCCCUGGACUGCAUUGGAAACUGUAUUUCUUGAGUGCCGGAGGGGUAAGCGGAAUUCCUAGUGUAGCGGUGAAAUGCGUAGAUAUUAGGAGGAACACCAGUGGCGAAGGCGGCUUACUGGACGGUAACUGACGUUGAGGCUCGAAAGCGUGGGGAGC
rnacentral:rRNA from 1 species